rnacentral:rRNA from 1 species
UACGGAGGGUGCAAGCGUUAUCCGGAUUCACUGGGUUUAAAGGGUGCGUAGGUGGGCUUGUAAGUCAGUGGUGAAAUCUCCGGGCUUAACCCGGAAACUGCCAUUGAUACUAUAGGUCUUGAAUCAUCUGGAGGUGAGCGGAAUAUGUCAUGUAGCGGUGAAAUGCUUAGAUAUGACAUAGAACACCGAUUGCGAAGGCAGCUCACUACGGAUGUAUUGACACUGAGGCACGAAAGCGUGGGGAGCAAACAGG